UCUUCUCUUUUUUCCUCUAUUUUUUCCUGUAUUUUCUUUUUCUCUUUUUUCCUCUAUUUUCUUCUCUUUUUUCCUCUAUUUUCUUUUUCUAUUUUUUCCUCUAUUUUUCCUCUAUUUUCUUUUUUUUUCCUCUAUUUUUUCCUGUAUUUUCUUUUUUCUCUUUCUUUCCUCUAUUUUCUCUUCCUAUUUCCUCGCCUGGUUCUUCUCCAUCUCCUCCUCGUCUGUCUCUUCCCUCCGCCGUCUCCUCGGGCUCUCUCUCCCCUCAGGCUGCUGCCGCAUCUACCGCGUCCUUUCCGCGCCGCGGAGCCUCCGGAGCGCUCCCUCAGCCCGUGCCCGGAGCUCCGGAACGGGCCCUAAAGCGGCUUUAGGGGCUGCUCUAAAGAAUGAAAGCGCUUUAGGAGCGUUCUAGAAGCAAGAAACCAGCUUUAAGAGCUGACGCUUUAAAAGCAUUUUCCCUUAAGUAAAGCUGCUGGAAGCCCCUUUUUAAAAAGCUAACGCCGCUUUAAGAGCGUUUGGGUCAAAAAGAAGCCGAUUUCAGAGGCAAAGGAGCAGCCC
rnacentral:lncRNA from 1 species